rnacentral:tRNA from 1 species
AAAAUCCGUCGACUUUAAAAUCUGAGGGUCAAGUCCCCUAUCCCA